AACGUAGGAGACAAACGUUUAUCCGGAGUUACUGGGCGUAAAGGGCGUGUAGGCGGUUCGUUAAGUCUGGCGUGAAAGCUCUCGGCUAAACCGGGAGAGGUCGUUGGAUACUGGCAAACUAGAGGACGGUAGAGGCGUGUGGAAUUCCGGGUGUAGUGGUGAAAUUCGUAGAUAUCGGGAGGAACACCAGUGGCGAAGGCGGCGAUCUGGGAAGAUACUGACGCUGAGGUGCGAAAGCGUGGGGAGCAAACAGG
rnacentral:rRNA from 1 species